CUGCUGCUGCUAUUCUUCCUGACAUGUUCUUUGAUUGUGGUAUGUUCUGCAGGUUCUGAAAAUAAACCAUGCUCUUACAAGGGAAGAUCGUACGAAGACGGUGCAGAGUUCAAGGAGGAAUGCAAUACUUGCAGGUGCUCCAACGGGUCUGUAGGAUGUACAGAAAUUUCCUGCACAAAGCCAGGCAAAUGUCAUAAGCUGCCUAGAUACAGAAAUGAGGUAUGCAAGGAAAGUUGCUCUUUCGAUUAUGACUGCCCAGGUGUACAGUAAUGCUGUCCCAGUGGGUGCGGGCAUAUGUGCCGUGAGCCCAAAAAAAGACUUUUUGAAAGGGGUAGUUAUACACCGUUUUGCUGAAAAAGCAUGUUUAAUUGACCCUUUCUGCCCUUUCAUGGAAUAUAUCGAGAUAUUGGAAAAAUAUGGGUAUUAAAUACAAUAGACAUAUGUAUAGUUGCAAUAAACCGUAUCUUCUGUC